UACGGGGGGGAGCAAGCGUUGUUCGGAUUUACUGGGCGUAAAGGGCGCGUAGGCGGUCGUGACAAGUCACUUGUGAAAUUCGCGUUAACUCGGAACGGUCAAGUGAUACUGUCGGACUAGAGUACAGAAGGGGCAACUGGAAUUCUCGGUGUAGCGGUGAAAUGCGUAGAUAUCGAGAGGAACACCUGCGGCGAAGGCGGGGUUGCU
rnacentral:rRNA from 1 species